AACAUUUCAGGACCCUGAUGAAGAACCUGAGGGGAAAGAAAGAAGAGGAGUAUCUGAAGGAGAACCCCGAGGAUGAUCCAGAGUAGGAUCCUGAUGACGUUUGCUAUAGAAUCAAUUUGAGUCGAAACCAAUCGUUUUAGUAGGGCUUGUAUAUGCACAUAAGGGUGUGGUUUUUAGGUUCAGGUUUCUAGUCCUACUUGUAUAUCCCAUUACUUUAUUGUUUGGGGAUUUUUAUAUAUGCUUCCGCAUGUGCUAUCAAAAUGAAAAGGGUCGGCGAUACGUAGUCCUAGGAUAUCGCAUUAUAAAAUCGACCAAGCUUGAAGGAUGGUCACGUUACCGAGAGUCGGGGCGUGACAUCCUCUUUUUGUGGUAUCAGAGCUAUGGUUAGGUAUUGGAGUGAUAAGGUGCGUUGACCUAUGAGAUAAUAGUAGGAAAGGCCUUUAAAUUCAUGAUUGAUGCAUGUCUGUGAUAGCUGAUUUGUAGCUUGUUUGUGGAUCACUCGAAUUCUAAUGUGGUAUUAGAAUUAGAAAACAGGUUUCUAUAAAGAUCCUGUAGUUUGAGUGAUAAGGAGAUGAGGGCUCCUAGUAAGAGGACAGUAGCCUCUGUGACUCGGGAAUGAAUGCCGACAAGGAUCGGUGCUCGAGGUAGUUGUGGCAAAACGCCGGCUUAGGCCAGCGCGCGUGUAAGAGUACCGCCGUAGGUCGGUACUGAGAGUGUAGCAGCACCGAGCGAUCCUAGGUCCAGCAGGAUUGUUCAGGCGCAAGUUUUCUUAAGGAGCUUGUUGAGCCAGUAAGUUCGGAAUCAAGUUGAAGUUAUUGCCACACCUGCCGAGGUUUAGUAAGGAGACGUGAUCCGGGAGCAAGCCGUAGCAACUGAGUUGAGGUUCAAGUUCAGUAGAGUUGGAAAUCAGUUUGGAAAGGAGCUUAUGAUUGGAAAAAUAUAUUCUUUUUAGCCCAAUAGGAAAAGCGAGUUAGACAAGUCUACAUCGAAUUAAAACGUUGUGUGUUAUGGAAGACAAUAUGAAUCGGCCCCGUGCCAUGUUAAGACGGGUGCUGGUCUGGACUGUGACAGACAAGGUCACUUGGCAAGAGACUGUCUUAGAAGGCCGAUGGGAUAGGUUGUAAGGAGUGAGCCACAGAGCAUAUAGUGGAGUUUUCGAAACAGGCCUCCAGUGCAACCGAGAGGGUAUGCUAUCACCUAACAUGAGAUAAAGGACUCACUAGGUGAGUGCCAAAAGUAUGGAAGGAAUGCAUGGAUUGAUCCUGUGUUCGAGAAUGACUAGAACGUGCUUUGAUGGUAGGGAGCACGGCCAUCAGGUGAGGGACUAUCAGUUAGAGUUCAGGAAGAACGCCAACAUUGCAACUACCGAUAGAAUGCCACUAGGAUGGCGAAAGGGUCAGGAGUGAAACUGACCAUGCACCGAACAGAGAAAUGAUGUCUUGAAGUAAUUUUAUCAGAAUGGUGCCUCAGAGUUUCAAGGAUUAAGUUGUGGAAUUUCAAUAUGUGUGUUAAGGUGGUAGGAGAAGAACCAUUGACUAGAGUUGUACUUGAUUGGUUGUUGGCAUACAACUUAUUCGUCAAGUGUGGAAAAAAAAAAUUGGUUCUAGAACAUCUUGUGAUGAAUUGUUAUAGUGGAGUAACCUAGUUUAUUCUUGGAGAAGGUAGAAGUGCCAAGUUUUAUGAAGAGUCGAGAAGGGUCCUCGGCUUCUUUAAUCUCGUAACUUGAGGCAAUCCGUUUGUUAAACAGAGGUUGCCUAGGUUACUUGGCGAUUGUAAAAAAUAAGACAGAUUGAAGAAUUGAAAAUUGAGGACUCCUUAGUAGUCCAAGAAUUCCUGGAAGUGUUGCCAGAAGGAUGGUCAGACCGUCGCUAGAGAAAGAGAUAGAAUUAUGAUCGAGUUAACAUCCGGAACAGAACCGUUCUCUAAAAGUUCUUACCGGUUGUUGUUGUCUGAAUUGAUAGAACCAAUGGUGCAGAUGUGAGGAUUGUUGAAUGAGGAAUUCAUGCAUAUCAGUGCAUCACUUUAGGGAUCAUCAGUUUUGUGAAGAGAGAAAGAAAGAUGGUUCGUUGCAAUUAUGCAUCAACUAUAGUCGACUCAAUCAAGUGACAAUCAAGGAUAAGUGUUCAUUGUCAAAGAUCGACGUAUUGGGCGACUUGUUAUGAAGAGUGUGGAUGUCUUCAAGGAUCAACUUGAGGACAGGUUAUUGUCAGUUGAGAACUAGGAAGGAGGUUAUACUGAAGGCGGCAUUUCGCACUUGAUUUUGCCCUUGUGAAAAUAAUGUAAAGCCAUUUGAUUUGACGAACGCUCCAGCCGCUGUCAUAGAUUUGACAAACCGAGUGUUCAAAGAAUAUCUAGAUCAAUGGUGAUCGUGUGGUGUAACGACAUUCUAGAGUGUUCAUUAAGUGUUGAGGAUCACGAGAGCCCCUAAGAAUGGUCAUGUGAUUACAGAUAAAUGAAUCUUCAUGGACUCAACCAAGAUUGAAUAAGUUGUUAAUGGACUGAAACCGACAACAAUGUCAGAAAUCAGAAGUCGUGGGGAUUGGACAGAUUACUACAGAAGGUUCGUGAAAGAAUUUUCAGCAUUAGUAUCAUCGCGGGCUUGACCUCUUAAUAAAGAAGAGAAAUUCAUCGGUAUAGACAAGUACGAGGAUAGUUCCAGAGCUUCAGUAAGAUCAGGCUACCGCACUUGUGCUAAACUUUUCAUUUGGCUCUGGAAAGCAUGAAAUCUUUAGUGAUGCGUCUUGCCGAAGAUUGGGUAUGUAUUGAUACAACAUGAGAAGAUUGUUGUAUAACCGUCCCGACAGUUGAGACCCAGCAAGUUGAACAUGAAACAGUGUCGUGAAUCAGAAUUUUGGCAGAACUAUAAUGGUGUUAUCUGGUAUUACCUUGGGAGAAUGAAAGAAGUAAUUAAUGUGUUGAGCCGAGAGUCUUCGAUUGUACAUAGGCUGGCUAAAGUAUAAACUUUACUUAAAAAGGGUUUGAAAUUUGGUUUUCAAAUUUGAGGUAGGCUACCUUUUAAAUUUUAUAGCCGCCCUCAAAAUUGAACCAUAUAUUCAAAUUAGAAUUGGCGUCUAAUUAACAGAUAGAGAUGUUCAGAAGAUCUUAUAAGGGGAUACUGGCAAGAAAGAAUCUGACUUUAAGACUUCUGAGGAUGGAACGUUCGGGUUCCAUGAGUGAUUGAGUGCACUUGACAGUGCAGCACUCAGGGAAAGGAUCUUGUAAGAAGUUCACUAUAGUAUUGUAGUUUUGAUCAGAUGGUGCAAGUAAGUCAGAAUCGACGUCAGCUAGAUUGGUAGACCGAUAUAAAGAUAGAUAUCGUCAAACAGGUUGCAAGUGUUAGCGGUGUCAGUAAGUGGAAGUUCAAUAAUGCAAACCCAGAAGAUUUUACCAUCACUCGAGAAUCCCAAGUGGGAAUGGAAAUAUAUCACAAUGGAACAUUGUAACAGGCUUACUAAGGAUUCGGGGGAGUACUGAUACCAUUUAAAAAUAGUGGUCGAUCGAUAGAUGGAGUCGGUCUACUUUGGUACAGUACAAAUAGAUCUUGUUUUGGGUGUGUGACAUCCAGAUUUCGGGCUCUAAUUUCGAUUAGAUAAAUUGGGCAUUUCAUCGACACAAUUAUAGUGUUUUUCUCUGAGUUGGCCACUCAUGAGAUAACUAGACUAGCUGGGUGACUUAUUAAGGACCUUAAGGCAAAUAGACUUAAGAAUUCGACCAGGGAUCGACUUCUCGACCGUGCUCAUCUUUAGAGAUCAUUGCGGCACAGUAUAAAAUCGAUUUGAAAUCAUAGAUAGAUCAGUUCGACUAAGAUGAAUGACCGAUCGUGGGUGACUCCACUAAAUUGGAAAAUUCUCAUCGAUCGACACUAAUUUGAUUUUUCUGUCGUUUUGGUACCUUGUGUCCGUAUUUGAAUCCUUGAGAUUUUCACGACAAUCGAGAGUCACCAAUGGGUCGAGUGGGUUCAUUGUGGCUCGAAGAAAAUUGACCACGGGUCAUUUGUCCUAAAAAGCUCUUAAAACUACCCAGUAGCCUAGGUCACACUAAAAGUGUGUCGGAGUGAAAUUAACCGCCAAUCUAAGUUCGAUUUCAGAAAUUGAAGAUUUUGUCUUGUCAUAGAGUGGGUAUACUGAAGUGUGUGUGCAUCAGAUAAUUCGCCGGCAUGGAGUGCCGGGGAUGAAUUAUAUUUCGAAUCUAGAUCAGAGAUUACAAAUUUUGCAAAGUUUUCAGAGGGUUCUUUCUUAAGCAGUGUAUAGCAGAGGGUAUAGAAUUUCAGUGGUGAAAAGAAAGUGAAGAAAGAUUACAGGCCAGAGUCAGCUCAGUAAUCAGUGUUUGCAGUUGUCAGAUCAGUGUCAGAGUAAAGACUGCUCAGAACUGUCAGAAACUUUGAAUCGUUGAGGUUCGAAGGUUUAUUAAGGAGUCGAGAAAAAGAGAUCAGAUGUGGAUGAUAGGGUGUCUUAUGUGAGAAGCUCAGUUCAAUUGUUGGUUCAGAAAGAGCAGAGUUUGUGUACCAAGAUGAUCUCCUUAAUCAAAAUGGUCGGACAACACCACAAAACUGAAGGAUUAGCAUGGAAUAGUGAGACUCAAUGAAACGACAAUAGCCCCACCUUUUGUAUAAGGAUUGGUAAAAGUUUAAAUUUCGAGGACGAAAUUUUUAUAAGAGGGGAAGAAAUGUGACAUCCAGAUUUUUGGGUUCCAAUUUUGACUGGAUAAAUAGGGCCAUUUUUGUUUAGUUGAAGCCAGUGAUUGGGGAAUUAGGAUGCAAGUGGGAUUAUAUGACGGGAAAAGUCAUGAAAUAGACAAGGAUAUCUUGAUGGAUUUAUUUAGGCUUCAAUUGAAAUCAUUUGUUUGAGAAUUGAACAAAUUUGAGUAAUACUGAAGAAGAAAACUUAGCAAAAUUCGUAUGCCCAUAGACCCAACAUUUUAAAUUACCUUAAAGCUUCUAGAAGGGGCAUUUUUGGCAAGGAAAAGGGAGUGGAAGACAGCUGGAUUGGUGGGGCCAAAGAGAGAGAGAGAGAGGAGGAGAAAACCGAUUUCCCCUCUCUCCUCCGUCGGGCAUCUCCAUCUUCUUUCCCUUUCUUUGGGGUUUCUUCUUUAGCAACAACCGAAGAAGCCGAAGCAGCAGCAGCAGCUCCGCCCGUCGCCACCUCUUGCCGCCGCCGUCGCACGCCACUGCACGCCGUCGGAGUUGCCGUCUUGCUGCCUGCGCGCAGCUUCGCCCUCUCUCUCUUCCUCCUCCCGCUCGGUUUGUUCGAAGGCAGCAGAAGCAAAAACAGAAGCAACGUCCAGCGUCGCCGGAAGAAGCCAUAACCAGCUGCCUGGAUGCCGCCGCACCGGAGCUGCCGCCGUCCCGUCUGCUUCCCGCUCGCCGCCAUGCGCCGUCUACCUUGGUCCGAACGAGCUACUGUCCAGCCUCUGUUCCGCCUCUGUUCAGUCCCGUUCAGCCGCCUUCGGCCACCGCCUGACCUUCUCUGGCCACCGUCCGGCCUCACCGGAGUCCCCUCGGCCUUCGCCGACCUUGUCCAGCUCGAAUCAGCGCCAGAACCACCUCAAGCAGCCGCGCACAGAGAGUUCGAAAAUGGGUAUGGCAGUGGACGUUCGGCCCGUUUUGGCCGCCUUCCCGAGCCCGGGUGCUCAGCCCGCUUUGAGGAAAGUCGAUCCUCGUGUCGAGCCCAUUGUUUUGAGUGAGUUUUACUCACUAAAACCUUCUUAUUUUUCUAAUUACACUUAAAGGUUGAUUCGUGUUAGUUAAGUGUAAUUAGGUUGUUAGAUUAGAAUGUAUUAGCGAUUAUUAGUUAAUUUUAUUCCAUAUUAGUGAAAUAAUUAGUGUACUUGGAUAGAGAAUUGCCUAUAGUAUUUAUUCUAUGCUUCGUGGGAUUUUUCCCGACCCUUACCGGGUGUUAAUUAGGCGAUUCGGGCCUAAUUGGUAUUUUUAGGAAUUAAAUAUUAAUUUUCGAAAUUAAUUAUUUAAUUAUUUAUUUUCCGAAAAUUCAACUAGGAUGGCUAGUGACAGAGAUUUUAUGCUGAUGAUCGUGGCGCAGACCGUUUCUUUAAUUGAGCUUCAUAUUGUGCUAAAUUGGAAUUAUUGUGUUUAUUUAUUUAUUUUUCGAAAUUAAUUAUUUAAUUAUUUAUUUUCUGAAAAUUCAACUGGGAGGCCAGUGACCGGAAUAUUAUUCGGAUGACCGUGGUGAAGUCAGUUUAUUUAAUUGGGCUUUAUUUGGAGCUAAAUGGAAUUUUUAAUAUUUAUUAAUUAAUUAUUUUUCGGAAAUUAAUGCUGAGGUGAUCGACGACCGGAAUUUCGUGCUGAUUGUUGUGGCGCAGUCCGUUUAUUUAUUUGAGCUCUACGUUGUAUGAAAUUAAAUAAAUUGUGAUGUUUUAGGGAUUUACCCUAAAUUGAUUGAAAUUGAGUGAAAUUGAAUUAUUGAUUGGUAAAUGGCCGAGUAUGGCUAGUUAGCAUUUGUAUUGCCUUGUUGAGCUGUAAGUGGAGAAAGUGGUGAGAGCUAACUGAGAAUUCUAUUGCUGAGACCGAUCAAGUACGAAGUAUAGACAUGCGUGGUUCGGUGAUAAAGUACAUCACUGUGCGAAAACGGCGCCUUAAAGAACACACGUAGACUGUCUAUGACUUGUGGCAGGCGUGGUUCGGUGAUGAAGGACAUCACCGUGCGAAAACGGCGCCUUAAAGAACACACGUAGACUGUCUAUGACUUGUGGCAGGCGUGGUUCGGUGAUGAAGGACAUCAUUGUGCGAAAACGGCGCCUUAAAGAGCACAUGUAGACUGCCUGUGAAUCGUGACAGGCGUGGUUCGGUGAUGAAGGACAUCACUGUGCGAAAACGGCGCCUUAAAGAACGCACGUAGACUGUCUGUGAUCUAUGACGGGCGUGGUUCGGUGAUGAGGAAUAUCACUGUGCGUAAACGGCUCCUUAAAGAAUGCACGUAGACCGUCUGUUACUUAUGUCACCUUGGCGAAAACGACGCCGGAGAGCAUUGAUGGAGCUCUGUGACUAAGUGUAUUAUUGGAGGUUUUAUGGGAUGGAGUGAAUGACCUAGAAAUGGUCUGACUAUGAUGUAAUCGACUAAGUCGAUUGAUCCUUACCUUGAUUCGAUAUUGUGAAUUGAUUAAUUGAAUGAGAAUGACCGUGACUGAUCUUGUUGGCGUGUAAUCAAUUAGGUCGAUUCGAUCGAUGCUUCGAUCUGUGAUGUGAUUGCUUGGGUACUUAUUUGAUCUGUGCUAAUAUGCAGGUGGAAUCUGAGGCUAAGGUAAGCCAUCUGACUCAUGUUGUGCAUAGGAAGGUGUAUUAGUUUACUAAUCGGGUCUUAGUGUGGUAGAACUUGCUGAGACGUAGUCUCAUCCCGGUUUGGGGAAAACAUUUCAGGACCCUGAUGAAGAACCUGAGGGGAAAGAAAGAAGAAGAGUAUCUGAAGGAGAACCCCGAAGAUGAUCCAGAGUAGGAUCCUGAUGACGUUUGCUACAGAAUCAAUUUGAGUAGAAACCAAUUGUUUUAGUAGGGCUUGUAUAUGCACAUAAGGGUGUGGUUUUCAGGUUCAGGUUUCUAGUCCUACUUGUAUAUCCCAUUGCUUUAUUGUUUGGGGAUUUUUAUAUCUGCUUCCACAUGUGCUAUCAAAAUGAAUAGGGUUGGCAAUACGUAGUCCUGGGAUAUCGCAUUAUAAAAUCGACCAAGCUUGAAGGAUGGUCACGUUACCGAGAGUCGGGGUGUGACAUGAUCCAUUGCACCCACCAUUGCCAACAGUCCAAAGCAGAGAAGCAGGAAAUCUGCUUAUAAAUGCUAAUGAUGGCUUUGCAGCAGCAAAUACUAUACUCGAGAUUUUAAGUUUAUCCACGACAGAUCUCUCGGUGCUGGACUCCUCUC
rnacentral:lncRNA from 1 species